CAACAAUAAAACCAGUUUAAGGAGUUUAGAGUACAAGUGUUUGAAUCAAUUCUGCCUGUAGUGACUACAUAGUGACUCUAUGCAAAGCCUGGACACAGAGGCAAAGGGAAAAGCAGCAUCAAACACACCCUCUGACAAGUGGUGGCACCAGGACCCUGUCAGCCCAGGCCAAAGGCCCCCAGCUUUUAAUGAGUUCCUCAGGGACUCUGUGCAAUGCAAAUGAGUGCUCAGAUCCACAUAUAGGUGCCAUGACUGGGUUGGCCACACACACCACAAGUGCAUUUGAAAACAGACUUAAAUAUAUACGUGAUCAUCUCAGUAACGAAGGCAGGCUGGGCAAAGAAGAUGCUCUACGAGUCGU
rnacentral:lncRNA from 1 species